CCCUAUGGGGUGCAGCAGGCGGAAUAAUAAGUCAGUGGUGAAAUCCUACGGCUCAACUGUAGAACUGCCAUUGAUACUGUUAUUCUUGAGUUUAGUUGAAGUGGGCGGAAUGUGUCAUGUAGCGGUGAAAUGCUUAGAUAUGACACAGAACACCGAUCGCGAAGGCAGCUCACUAAGCUAAAACUGACGCUCAUGCACGAAAGCGUGGGGAUCAAACA
rnacentral:rRNA from 1 species